rnacentral:rRNA from 1 species
ACACUUAAAUAUUUAUGGUGGUGUCACAAAAUCGGAGGCCCCGACUGUUUACUAAAAACACAAUUCAGACCAAUGAUGUAAAUCAUAGUAUUCUGGAUGAAAUUUGCCCAAUGCCAUUAACAUAAAAGAGGUAAUGGGAAACUGUUACUAAUUGAAAGUCUGGUUAAUAGCGGUCUUAACUAUGAGGAUCCUAAGGUAGCAAAAUCAGUUGGCCAUUAAAUGUGGUCUGGUAUCAAUAGUGUAACGAUGGUCUCACUGUCUCUACAACUUGCUCAGUGAAAUUGAAUUAUCCGUGCAGAUGCGGAUUGCCUCCAAGUGGACGGGAAGACCCUAUGCAGCUUCUACUGA